rnacentral:rRNA from 1 species
ACCUACGGGGCGCAGCAGUGAGGAAUAUUGGUCAAUGGCCGCAGGGCUGAACCAGCCAAGUCGCGUGAGGGAUGACGGUCCUAUGGAUUGUAAACCUCUUUUGUCAGGGAGCAAAGGGCGCCACGUGUGGCGUUUUGCGAGUACCUGAAGAAAAAGCAUCGGCUAACUCCGUGCCAGCAGCCGCGGUAAUACGGAGGAUGCGAGCGUUAUCCGGAUUUAUUGGGUUUAAAGGGAGCGUAGAUGGGUUGUUAAGUCAGUUGUGAAAGUUUGCGGCUCAACCGUAAAAUUGCAAUUGAUACUGGCAG